AAUAGAUACCCAGGUAGUCCACGCCCUAAACGAUGUCUACCAGUUGUCGGGGGGUAACUCCUUCGGUAACGCAGCUAACGCGUGAAGUAGACCGCCUGGGGAGUACGGUCGCAAGAUUAAAACUCAAAGGAAUUGACGGGGACCCGCACAAGCGGUGGAUGAUGUGGAUUAAUUCGAUGCAACGCGAAAAACCUUACCUACCCUUGACAUGCCACUAACGAAGCAGAGAUGCAUUAGGUGCCCGAAAGGGAAAGUGGACACAGGUGCUGCAUGGCUGUCGUCAGCUCGUGUCGUGAGAUGUUGGGUUAAGUCCCGCAACGAGCGCAACCCUUGCCAAUAGUUGCUACGAAAGGGCACUCUAUUGGGACUGCCGGUGACAAACCGGAGGAAGGUGGGGAUGACGUCAAGUCCUCAUGGCCCUUAUGGGUAGGGCUUCACACGUCAUACAAUGGCUGGUACAGAGGGUUGCCAACCCACGAGGGGGGAGCCGAAUCCCACAAAACCCAGUCGUAGUCCGGAUUGCAGUCUGCAACUCGA
rnacentral:rRNA from 1 species